UACGUAGGUGGCAAGCGUUAUCCGGAUUUAUUGGGUGUAAAGGGCGUGUAGGCGGGAGCGCAAGUCAGAUGUGAAAACUCAGGGCUCAACCCUGAGCCUGCAUUUGAAACUGUGUUUCUUGAGUGCUGGAGAGGCAAUCGGAAUUCCGUGUGUAGCGGUGAAGUGCGUAGAUAUACGGAGGAACACCAGUGGCGAAGGCGGAUUGCUGGACAGUAACUGACGCUGAGGCGCGAAAGCGUGGGGAGCAAACAGG
rnacentral:rRNA from 1 species